rnacentral:tRNA from 1 species
GCCUGGGUGGCUCAGUCAGUUAAGCAUCUGACUUUAGCUCAGGUCAUGAUUUCGUGGUCCGUGGGUUUGAGCCCCGUGUCGGGCU